CCGCAAACCCGCCCCGCAAAAUCAGUCCGCGACUGAGGUGGCGCAGCAGCUUUGUUUUGGACACAUGCGGGUCGGUCCGGUUAGCCCAUUGGACGAGAGCAUGUGGCCGCAACAGCCCGCAAGAACCCGCACUCAACAUGACGGCAGCAUCGAGCUCGCGACUCUCUUGACUUGCCGCAGCGCGGAGGCGGCGCCAACGGGGAACGAGUUCCUGCACCUGAUGGACGACAGCUUCAACAACCCCGCAGCACCGCUGCCACCCGCGCUCGCUCGCCCUCAACGCCGCCUCCAUCGCUGCCGUCAGCUACCUCAAGAACCUCCCCGAGCCGCUCCACCGCAUCGUGCACGGCGGGGCCAUCCACAGGACCCCCGGCAAGAAGGCGCGCGGCGCGCCUCGCCGCCGUGGCCGGGGCAGCUGUGGCAGCCGUAAGCCGCGCGCAUCGGCACCACGGAGGAGUACGUCGCAGCUAGCCUGGAGCGCGACCGGGGCCUCGCGGCGGCGGCCGCAGCGGCGCGGCGGACCAGUAGAGUGGAGGCCGCAACGAGGCCGCGACCGGGGCAUUCGGAAGGCAGCACUCGUGCCGCUACGCCGCGCGCUCAAGCUCCCAAUCGAGGUACCGGCAGAAUCUCUGGCAGCAGCAGCAAACGAGAAUCUCACAAUCCUUUUCAUAGUUGUCGAUUUUUCUCUACCCAAAUCUAUUUCGUGAUUAAUAUUUGGCUUGUGUUCAUUUUAAUUCAGAAGCUUGUGUGAGGCUGAGCUGCAAUUAGAAAUGUCCUUUGUAAAAAAAUGCCAAAUUUAAUGGUUUACUAGUGUUCCGUUGUAUGGUUAUAUAAUUAAGCUGUGUUAUUUACGAGCUAAAAUUUAUUUGUCA